rnacentral:lncRNA from 1 species
UUAUCAACAUUUUGGAUAUGGGCGGUUGAAUGACGCUCAAGUUGAGCCAUUGGACGUAGAUAUUUAAAAACCCAUGAAAUAGUGAGAUCUACAGGAUCUACUUUCUAGACGCCACAAGCAGUCCUAAACAUAAAAUGAUGGCAUUACACACUUUUCCUUCGGCAUGUUGUGGCGCAUCCAAUAUAGUUCAUUUGAAUGCUAAACUUUAUCAAAUAUUAUUGAAGCAGUGUUUCUUGAAUCUGUAUAGAAUUAUAGUCUUCAUUUCCAUCUAAAGGUAAGUGAAGAAAAUAAGUAAUUUUUCCUACAAUGUUCUUGGAUUGACGCCAAUAUCAAAACGAGCUUCUCUUCUUCAAUAUUCAUAUAGGUAUAGUAAUCUGAAUAUUGGGACCUGACUGACCCCAAGGAAAAUAAGAUCUGAACUACUGACAAGACCCAAAAUACAUAUCUAACUCUAACUUUCCUAGUGUGGACUGAGGAAAAAGUUAGGCAGCCGAUUUAAAUAUUCUUCAUUUCUACAGUUGAAGACAUAUUAGCAUCCCAAACUGGACCAGCCAAUUAGGAAAGAGAUUCAUUUAAUGUAAUUAAUACUAUCUAUUCUAAAUCUUCGCCCUUAAACCAACUAAGCACGUUGUUAGAGGCAUUGAGAUCUAUCUCUAUGUUGUUUUUAAUCACCUAGUUGAUCCAACCGAUGUGUUUUUGCAUUUCCAUUAAAACUUUGAUAAUU